rnacentral:ncRNA from 1 species
ACCAAGACGUAGAACAAGAGGAGUAGCUGGGACCUAAGGGAAAAGAGAGAGGAUGCAAGGCUGGAACAUCCUUACCUAAGGCAGCGAAGGUAGCUUGGGAGUCAUUGACCUGAAAGCAAGUAGGGUCAGCCGUUUCGUACCCGUUACCGUACGCAGAAAGGGGCAGGAGUUUUCCUGCAACUUAGGUGGUACCGCGUUUCAAAGCGCCCUAAGA